rnacentral:rRNA from 1 species
GUGGGGAAUUUUGGACAAUGGGCGAAAGCCUGAUCCAGCCAUGCCGCGUGCAGGAUGAAGGCCUUCGGGUUGUAAACUGCUUUUGUACGGAACGAAAAGACUCCUUCUAAUAAAGGGGGUCCAUGAUGGUACCGUAAGAAUAAGCACCGGCUAACUACGUGCCAGCAGCCGCGGUAAUACGUAGGGUGCAAGCGUUCAUCGGAAUUACUGGGCGUAAAGCGUGCGCAGGCGGUUAUAUAAGACAGAUGUGAAAUCCCCGGGCUCAACCUGGGAACUGCAUUUGUGACUGUAGAGCUAGAGUACGGUAGAGGGGGAUGGAAUUCCGCGUGUAGCAGUGAAAUGCGUAGAUAUGCGGAGGAACACCGAUGGCGAAGGCAAUCCCCUGGACCUGUACUGACGCUCAUGCACGAAAGCGUGGGGAGCAAACAGGAUUAGAUACCCGGGUAGUCC